rnacentral:piRNA from 1 species
UAUUUAGCUGAAAGCGGCAAGCCUCUCAUG